UCAUACGCUCGUCUCAAAGAUUAAGCCAUGCAUGUCUAAGUAUAAAUCUUUUACUUUGAAACUGCGAACGGCUCAUUAUAUCAGUUAUAGUUUAUUUGAUAGUCCCUUACUACUUGGAUAACCGUAGUAAUUCUAGAGCUAAUACAUGCGUCAACACCUUUGGGUGGUAUUUAUUAGAAUGAAACCAACCCCUUCGGGGUGAUGUGGUGAAUCAUAAUAAGUUUGCGAAUCGCACGGCUUUGCUGGCGAUGGAUCAUUCAAGUUUCUGCCCUAUCAGCUUUGGAUGGUAGGGUAUUGGCCUACCAUGGCUUUAACGGGUAACGGGUAAAUUUUUAGGG
rnacentral:rRNA from 1 species